CACCCCGCUCACACGCAAUUCUCCCUGAACAUCCAGCCGGACGGUCAGCUCCUACAAGCUCUAAUCACUCAAUACUCGACUACCAGCUCGUACGGGGAAGACGGAUAACAGAAUAGGAAGGAAGGAAGGAAGGCAGGAAGGAAGGGGAGAACUUGGUUUCGUGGGCGCUAGAGCAAGGAAAUACGAGCUGAAGACGAGGAGAGUUUCCACGCUUCACCGCCAGAAGGCGGAACGAAUGUUUGGUGGAAGGUGAAAGGGAAAGUAUGAGGAGUAAGAUAAGAUAAAUAAGGCGAGGAGUAAACGGUGGUGUACAGAACGAGAACAGGGAACUCUGGCUGUGGUGUGUCGUGGUGUGUCACGGCUGCUCGGUGUUGAAGGUGCCAAGCCAACAUUUCGGCAUCGUCUCGAUAGCAAACGAAGAACAGAUGAAUGCUCUCCCUGACUCUGGGGGCUGGGUUGACGCAUCCACACACGUGCAUUUUUUAUGAUUCGACAUGCAUGAUGGGGCGCUGUAGGAGGCGAGGAAGAGGGAGCCAGCUAACAGUAACGGGGAAGGGAAGACGUCCCUUCUCGGCCUCGCUGUCUGCCUCUGUAGAACUCCACCCAGAGGAACACAAGGAACAGAAAGACGGAGACAUUUUAGUAGGCCCAGAAUACGUAAGUGCAAGCGCCUGCCGUAGUAUAAGUCUGUCUUUGUUAUUUACCUGAUUAUACAUUGUCUGUUGUUAUAGAUUAAUAAGUGACAUAAGUGACAUACAAUGCUGAACGUUAGAUGCUAAGUGAAGUGCUCAGCUGCCCGGUUUAGUGCUCAGAGACGCGGGGGUUUUCGAGUGUCAUGAUUGUGAUCCUGGCGGUAAAUGUUAUUGUUGACAGGUUUGACCACAAUAUAUUGUGCGUCUCCGAAAAAGGUCAUUUCAUUCUCCUACCGCCCACGAAGCCCACGGAGCGGCGGUAUCAUUGAUGUUGUUUCUAUAUUUUCCUUAUUUUCCUUUUCUUGGUGUUUUAUUUCUACGUUGUUUUCUGUGCGUUCUAAUUACAUUAUUUUUUUCCGUUCUUUUUAUACCAUCCAUUUUUUGGUCUUCUGUUUCAGUCUUGAUGAUCCGUGUGCUUCUUAUGCUUUUCUCGAUGUUGUUUUCUUAACUAUCCUUUAUUCGGUGUUCCAUCUUAUAUUAUCCUUUUUUGUCCGGUUCUAAUUUCAUAUUCUUCUUCUCGUGUGUUCGCUUUUAUUAUCCUUUUUACUUGUUGGUUCCCCUUGGUGGGUGUCUACGACGCCUAUAACGAGCCCCACCUGCCCGGUUGGUUGUGUGUGUGUGUGUGUGUGUGGUUUGAAUUCGGAGUUUUCCUUCUCCUAGGAGGACUGCCUACCACGGCUAACGACCCCCUCCUGCCCGGGUUUGUGGUCAGAGUUAUCCUUCUCCUAGGUGAACUGCUCACGCUAACGACCUCCACCUGACCGGGUUUGUAAUCGGAGUUUGCUCUCCUAGGUGAAAUGCUCACGCUAACGACCUCCACCUGCCCGGGUUUGUAAUCGGAGUUUGCUCUCCUAGGUGAACUGCUCACGCUAACGACCUCCACCUGCCCGGGUUUGUAAUCGGAGUUUGCUCUCCUAGGUGAACUGCUCACGCUAACGACCUCCACCUGACCGGGUUUGUAAUCGGAGUUUGCUCUCCUAGGUGAACUGCUUACGCUAACGACCUCCACCUGCCCGGGUUUGUUGUUAGGAGUUGUCCCUCUCCUCGGCGAAUUGCCUACCACGGCUAACGAGCUCCACCUGCCCGGGUUUAUUGUUCGGAGUUUGCUCUCCUAGGUGUAUUGCCUAUGACGGCUCACGAGCCCAACCUGCCCGGGUUUUUUAUUCGGAGUUUGCUCUCCUAGGUGUAUUGCCUAUGACGGCUCACGAACCCAACCUGCCCGGGUUUUUUGUUCGGAGUUUGCUCUCCUAGGUGUAUUGCCUAUGACGGCUCACGAGCCCAACCUGCCCGGGUUUUUUGUUCGGAGUUUGCUCUCCUAGGUGUAUUGCCUAUGACGGCUCACGAGCCCAACCUGCCCGGGUUUUUUGUUCGGAGUUUGCUCUCCUAGGUGUAUUGCCUAUGACGGCUCACGAGCCCAACCUGCCCGGGUUUUUUGUUCGGAGUUUGCUCUCCUAGGCGAAUUGCCUACCACGGCUAACGAGCCUCACCUGCCCGGGUAUAUUGUUCGGAGUUUGCUCUCCUAGGCAGAUUGCCUACCACGGCUAACGACCUCCACCUGCCCGUGUUUGUGAUCAGAGUUUUCCUUCUCCUAGGUGAACUGCUCACGCUAACGACCUCCACCUGCCCGGGUUUGUAAUCGGAGUUUGCUCUCCUAGGUGAACUGCUCACGCUAACGACCUCCACCUGCCCGGGUUUAUUGUUCGGAGUUUGCUCUCCUAGGCGAAUUGCCUACCACGGCUGACGAGCCUCACCUGCCCGGGUAUAUUGUUCGGAGUUUGCUCUCCUAGAUGGACUGCCUACCACGGCUAACGAGCCCCAUCUACCCGUGCAGAUCUCCGGUACCUCCGCGGACGCCCCGGGGAACACCAAGUUGCCCUUCGGGGAGCCCUCCAGUACUGCCACGCUCGCCAGGGAGACCUUGGGCUCGCUGGCGCUCCUUAUCCCUGCCGAGGCUCACGGAGGGCGAAUGCAAGAACUCGCUUCUUAAAACUACCAGACUGGAUUAUGAAAUUAAUCGUAAAUGCUGUGAAUGCGCUGCUCACCGCGUUUAUCGUUUCUGGGAUGGAAAGUUGAAGGGCCUCGGGAACGCGCACAGAACAUCCGAAAACUUCCUCUGUUUCCCCCUUUCUUUCUUUCUUUUCAUAAUUCUUUUUUAUUAUAUGUUCCUUAGCUUUAGUAGUCUGUUUUACUAAUCAUUUAUUUAUUAUUUCGCUCUUAUUAUAUUGAUAAUUUAGUAGGGUAAUUUAGUAGUCCAGAAGUGAA